GCAGAGUCGGCGUUUGAAUGCAGGCCUCCCCACUGAGGGUCUGCUUUCAGAAACCUUGGUUUGUCUCUCCCCAGGAACAGGUGGCGCUCAGGCUGCUGGACCCUGGAGGGGAGCCCCUCUCCGCACCGGCUUUGCUGCCCACACGGGCCCCCUGAACUCUUGCUCAUCCUUCAAGCUCCUGUUUGAGCGCGCCUCCUCCAGGAAGCCUCUGCCAGCACAGGCCGACCAGGAGGGCAGAGCCCAUUUCCACUCCUCCAUCCGGGUCUUCACUGUGUCUCCAGGUCUUAGCCUGACAUUGGAGGGCUGCCCCUCAGCAAGCAUCACUCCAUCCCACUCGGAAGGUCCUGAAGCCACCUUGUUUAGGGCACGAUGGUCUCCCUCUGUAGCCAGUCACCUGAUGACCUGCACAUCACCCCCUCUCCUAACCAGGUGCUUCUCAGGCAGAGCAUACCGAAGGUUUUGUGAAUGGGGGAGAGACAAGGAAGUGCCCUGCCCUAGCCCCUAGGGCCCACCCUCAAGGAGACUGUGGAAUUACCCUCAAGGAUACUGGAACCUGGACUUGCUUAAGGUCACAGGAUAAGUCUGAAGUGAUGCCAAGACAGAACCCCAAGGUCUCGCCUGGUGGGCCAGUGGGUUCCCCAUCCACUUCACUAAGGACUCCUGGCACUGCACACCUGGCGGAUGAAAGAACCUG